AACGUAGGCGGCUUUUCAAGUCAGGGGUGAAAUCCCGGGGCUCAACCCCGGAACUGCCCUUGAAACUGGAUCGCUAGAAUCCUGGAGAGGUCAGUGGAAUUCCGAGUGUAGAGGUGAAAUUCGUAGAUAUUCGGAAGAACACCAGUGGCGAAGGCGACUGACUGGACAGGUAUUGACGCUGAGGUUCGAAAGCGUGGGGAGCAAACA
rnacentral:rRNA from 1 species